AUUGCCUAGUAACGGCGAGUGAAGCGGCAACAGCUCAAAUUUGAAAUCUGGCCUCACGGUCCGAGUUGUAAUUUGUAGAGGAUGCUUCUGGCGACGUGCCUUCCGAGUUCCCUGGAACGGGACGCCAUAGAGGGUGAGAGCCCCGUCCGGUCGUGCACCUAGCCUCUGUGAAGCUCCUUCGACGAGUCGAGUAGUUUGGGAAUGCUGCUCUAAAUGGGAGGUAUACGUCUUCUAAAGCUAAAUACCGGCCAGAGACCGAUAGCGCACAAGUAGAGUGAUCGAAAGAUGAAAAGCACUUUGAAAAGAGGGUUAAAUAGUACGUGAAAUUGCUGAAAGGGAAGCGCUUAUGACCAGACUUGGGCUCGGUGAAUCAUCCGGCGUUCUCGCCGGUGCACUUUGCCGUCCCAGGCCAGCAUCAGUUCGCGCCGGGGGAUAAAGGCUUCGGGAAUGUAGCUCCUUCGGGAGUGUUAUAGCCCGUUGUGUAAUACCCUGGCGUGGACUGAGGUCCGCGCUCUGCAAGGAUGCUGGCGUAAUGGUCAUCAGUGACCCGUCUUGAAACACGGACUGAGGAGUCGUCUUCGUAUGCGAGUGUUCGGGUGUCAAACCCCUACGCGUAAUGAAAGUGAACGUAGGAGAGAGCUUCGGCGCAUCUCCGACCGAUCCUGAUGUUCUCGGAUGGAUUUGAGUAAGAGCAUACGGGGCCGGACCCGAAAGAAGGUGAACUAUGCCUGUAUAGGGUGAAGCCAGAGGAAACUCUGGUGGAGGCUCGCAGCGGUUCUGACGUGCAAAUCGAUCGUC
rnacentral:rRNA from 1 species